rnacentral:misc_RNA from 1 species
AACUUUCGACAACGGCUCUCUUGUUUCUGGCAUCGAUGAAGAACGCAGCAAAAUGCGAUAAGUAAUGUGAAUUGCAGAAUUCAGUGAAUCAUCGAAUCUUUGAACGCACAUUGCGCCCGCUGGUAUUCCGGCGGGCAUGCCUGUUCGAGCGUCAUUUCAACCCUCAAGCCCCCGGGUUUGGUGUUGGGGAUCGGCUCUGCCUUCUGGCGGUGCCGCCCCCGAAAUACAUUGGCGGUCUCGCUGCAGCCUCCAUUGCGUAGUAGCUAACACCUCGCAACUGGAACGCGGCGCGGCCAUGCCGUAAAACCCAAACUUCUGAAUGUUGACCUCGGAUCAGGUAGGAAUACCCGCUGAACUUAAGCAUAUCAAUAAGCGGAGGCU